rnacentral:sRNA from 1 species
AAGGUGACAGCACUAGCUGUAAUGGCGAUAGUGGCGGCCCUUUGUUGUGUGGCCCAAAGCUGGAUCAACUGGUUGGAGUCCUUUCCUUUGGGACAACAAAUUGUCCUAAGGAUUAUCCUGUCGUGUACACAGAUGUGACACAGUACCACAGAAGUUGGAUCGAGAAGAAUUCUUAAAUUAUCAUCGCCGAGUCGAAGAAUGAAAUAUUAUUACAUAACAAUAAAACAAUGAUAAAAGUCA